GAUGAACGCUGGCGGCGUGCCUAAUACAUGCAAGUCGAGCGAACAGACUAGGAGCUUGCUCCUCUGACGUUAGCGGCGGACGUGUGAGUAACACGUGGAUAACCUACCUAUAAGACUGGGAUAACUUCGGGAAACCGGAGCUAAUACCGGAUAAUAUAUUGAACCGCAUGGUUCAAUAGUGAAAGACGGUUUUGCUGUCACUUAUAGAUGGAUCCGCGCCGCAUUAGCUAGUUGGUAAGGUAACGGCUUACCAAGGCAACGAUGCGUAGCCGACCUGAGAGGGUGAUCGGCCACACGGGAACUGAGACACGGUCCAGACUCCUACGGGAGGCAGCAGUAGGGAAUCUUACGCAAUGGGCGAAAGCGUGACGGAGCAAAGCCGCGUGAGUGAUGAAGGUCUUCGGAUCGUAAAACUCUGUUAUUAGGGAAGAACAAAUGUGUAAGUAACUAUGCACGUCUUGACGGUACCUAAUCAGAAAGCCACGGCUAACUACGUG
rnacentral:rRNA from 1 species